CGUGGAGACAGGUGGUGCAUGGCUGUCGUCAGCUCGUGUCGUGAGAUGUUGGGUUAAGUCCCGCAACGAGCGCAACCCUCACCCCUUGUUGCCAACAGGUCACGCUGGGCACUCUAGGGGAACUGCCCCGGUCAACGGGGAGGAAGGCGGGGAUGACGUCAAGUCAUCAUGCCCCUUACGUCCUGGGCUACACACGUGCUACAAUGGGCGGCACAAAGGGAAGCGACGCCGCGAGGUGUAGCAAAUCCCAAAAAACCGUUCUCAGUUCGGAUCGGAGUCUGCAACUCGACUCCGUGAAGUUGGAAUCGCUAGUAAUCGUGGAUCAGCAUGCCACGGUGAAUACGUUCCCGGGCCUUGUACACACCGCCCGUCACACCACGAAAGUCUGCUGUACUCGAAGUCGCUGAG
rnacentral:rRNA from 1 species